ensembl:lncRNA
UUUGUGUAGAUGCUGUUUGUCUUUACUAGGACAGUAGUUCAGGUGGCUGUUUGUGUAGAUGCUGUUUGUCUCUGUAGGACUGUAGUUCAGGUGGCUGUUUGUGUAGAUGCUGUUUGUCUCUUUAGGACUGUAGUUCAGGUGGCUGUUUGUCUUUGUAGGACUGUAGUUCAGGUGGCUGUUUGUCUUUGUAGGACAGUAGUUCAGGUGGCUGUUUGUGUAGAUGCUGUUUGUCUUUGUAGGACAGUAGUUCAGGUGGCUGUUUGUGUAGAUGCUGUUUGUCUUUGUAGGACAGUAGUUCAGGUGGCUGUUUGUCUUUGUAGGACAGUAGUUCAGGUGGUUGUUUGUCUUUGUAGGACAGUAGUUCAGGUGGUUGUUUGUGGAGAUGCUGUUUGUCUCUGUAGGACAGUAGUUCAGGUGGCUGUUUGUGUAGAUGCUGUUUGUCUCUGUAGGACAGUAGUUCAGGUGGCUGUUUGUGUAGAUGCUGUUUGUCUUUGUAGGACAGUAGUUCAGGUGGCUGUUUGUCUUUGUAGGACAGUAGUUCAGGUGGCUGUUUGUCUUUGUAGGACAGUAGUUCAGGUGGCUGUUUGUCUUUGUAGGACAGUAGUUCAGGUGGCUGUUUGUCUUUGUAGGACAGUAGUUCAGGUGGCUGUUUGUCUUUGUAGGACAGUAGUUCAGGUGGCUGUGUGUCUUCGUAGGACAGUAGUUCAG